rnacentral:rRNA from 1 species
AUGAACGCUGGCGGCGUGCCUAAUACAUGCAAGUCGAGCGAACGGACGAGAAGCUUGCUUCUCUGAUGUUAGCGGCGGACGGGUGAGUAACACGUGGAUAACCUACCUAUAAGACUGGGAUAACUUCGGGAAACCGGAGCUAAUACCGGAUGAUAUUUUGAACCGCAUGGUUCAAAAGUGAAAGACGGUCUUGCUGUCACUUAUAGAUGGAUCCGCGCUGCAUCAGCUAGUUGGUAAGGUAACGGCUUACCAAGGCAACGAUGCAUAGCCGACCUGAGAGGGUGAUCGGCCACACUGGAACUGAGACACGGUCCAGACUCCUACGGGAGGCAGCAGUAGGGAAUCUUCCGCAAUGGGCGAAAGCCUGACGGAGCAACGCCGCGUGAGUGAUGAAGGUCUUCGGAUCGUAAAACUCUGUUAUUAGGGAAGAACAUAUGUGUAAGUAACUGUGCACAUCUUGACGGUACCUAAUCAGAAAGCCACGGCUAACUACGUG